GACGAACGCUGGCGGCGUGCUUAACACAUGCAAGUCGAACGGAAAGGCCCUGCUUUUGUGGGGUGCUCGAGUGGCGAACGGGUGAGUAACACGUGAGUAACCUGCCCUUGACUUUGGGAUAACUUCAGGAAACUGGGGCUAAUACCGGAUAGGAGCUCCUGCUGCAUGGUGGGGGUUGGAAAGUUUCGGCGGUUGGGGAUGGACUCGCGGCUUAUCAGCUUGUUGGUGGGGUAGUGGCUUACCAAGGCUUUGACGGGUAGCCGGCCUGAGAGGGUGACCGGCCACAAUGGGACUGAGAGACGGACCAGACUCCUACGGGAGGCAGCAGUGGGGAAUAUUGCACAAUGGGCGGAAGCCUGAUGCAGCAACGCCGCGUGCGGGAUGACGGCCUUCGGGUUGUAAACCGCUUUCGCCUGUGACGAAGAGUGAGUGACGGUAAUGGGUAAAGAAGCACCGGCUAACUACGUG
rnacentral:rRNA from 1 species